rnacentral:rRNA from 1 species
GUCCUAGCCGUAAACGAUGGACACUAGGUGUCGGCUCCUUUCGGGGUCGGUGCCGUAGCCAACGCGUUAAGUGUCCCACCUGAGGAGUACGGCCGCAAGGUUGAAACUCAAAGGAAUUGACGGGGGCCAGCACAAGCGGUGGAACAUGUGGUUCAAUUCGAUGCUACGCGAAGAACCUUACCCAGGCUUGACAUGCAGGAUGUAGGAACCUGAAAGGGUGACGACUCGUAACCAAGCGAGAGUCUGCACAGGUGCUGCAUGGCUGUCGU